rnacentral:rRNA from 1 species
AUGGAGGAAAAAGAUCAGCAAACUACCGGAAAAAACAUUAGGUCUUACAACUCCAUGUUUGCAUUCACAUCAAUGGGGGUUACUUUAGAUAAGAAAAUAAAUAAAGGGCAUGGACCUUAUGUUUUCCGACUGAAUGGCCAGAACCGCCACCAGAUAGGUACCCUGCUACCUCAAGAAGGAAAUAAGCCUCGUUUCCAGCAGUUGUAUAUCUAUGACACGAAUAAUGAGAUCCAUAACAGGGUAGAAGCAUCAAGAUCUGGUGGACGUGAUGGCUCACUAGAUGAAACAAUUGUCAGUGGCCUACUAAGCAUGCUCGACGAGAAUAACACACUAGCACAAUCAUUCCGAAUGGCAAGAGAUAGAUUUAAAGAAGACGACUACGACAACUUCACUCUACGUUUACUUGGCAACAGGGAUCAAGAUGGGAGGCAAGAUAACAUGCCAUCAACAUCGGAAGUUGCUGCACUUAUAGUCAAAGAUCCAACCCAAAAACAUUAUGUGCGUGACAUUGUUCUCGAGUACAAAGAUAUGAAACCUAAAAGAAUUUCAGAAAUCCAUCCAAAAUUCAUGGCCAUGCAAUACCCAUUGCUCUUCCCAUAUGGAGAAGAUGGUUAUAGACUUGGAAUCAAAUACAACAAAAAGAAAGGUGCAAGUAACAAGAAAUAUAUCACCAUGCUGGAAUACUAUGCAUAUCAUCUCCAACAGCGCCCAGGUCAGUCAAUGUUGCUGCUAACAUGUGGAAAUCUAUCAAUGCAGUUCAUAGUAGAUGUCUAUACAUGCAUCGAACAGUGUAGGCUCGAUUGGUUCAGAAAAAAUCAAGGAAAAUUAAGAACAGAACUUUAUGAUGGACUACACGACGCAUUCAGAAAAGGAGACACACUGACAGAGCUAGUAGGGAGGAGAAUAGUACUCCCAGCAAGUUUCACAGGAAGUCCUCGAAACAUAGAGCAGAACUACCAAGAUGUGAUUGCAAUAUGCUGGAAAUCCUGA